rnacentral:rRNA from 1 species
GUUUAACGAGUUUGGGGGUUGAAAGGAGUGGGGAUCCGCGACCGCCACGACGUAAGGGCUUGAUGGCUUCAGUUAGCCGCCGCCGCGCCGCGGACGUGCAGCUGCCGACGGAAGAGUUCGCGCCUCGGACGUGUAGCCGCCGACUGAACUGGGCGCAUGCGGGGUGGAAGGAUCGAAGAGGACGGGGCGAAGUAGGUGGGGCGACGAGCCGACGCGGCAGGACGGGGCGCUGCGGCCUCUUGAGGCCGCCAACGGAGAGAACGAGGGCGUGCGGCGUGGUCGGAUUCGAGACGGCCGACUGACUCCACUCGACCUGUCCCUAAUGAACGAAGAAACCCCAAAACGCCUAUGGGAAGGCCUCCGGACGUUGACUUUCUCUUCGGAGAGGAAGGAGAAGGCAGAGCAGUCCGUUCGAAGGGGAGGAGAAAGGCGGCUCCUCCUCUACCGCGGUGAGCGUGGGUUCGCGGCGUUCCGUCGUGGAAGGGGAAGAGGAGGGGAAAGCCUCCGAAGAAGGCUGAGGCCGUCGCUGAGGCUGGAGUUGGAGGUGCUGUUGAGGCUGGGUCUCCUGCCGAAGAAGGGGCGUCCCUCGCGACGGUUACUGCCGCUGGUUCUAAAGAGACUGUCGCUGCUCCUCUCGCUGGUACUCCUCCUCUCGCUGGUACUUCUCCUCCUACUACCACUCGACCCCCUCGAGCUCCUCCUCAUAGCGUGGGAGGUCCGGUUAGUUGUUUCGUAAGAAGUCUGGAACUUUGUCGUGUCCCUACUACUACAGAGCUCUCCGGUCCGUCAGUUUUUGGUUUUACGCGAUACCCUAUUCUGGGACCUUUACUCUAAGAACGACGUUUUCCGUAAAUGGUGAAGUUUGUUCGAAGGGUUCCUAGGGUGGUUCAGUUCCAAGACGUCAGUGCUAUUCCUCUAUCUCGUUCGUAUGCAACUAGACAACCUGAGCAGCUUUGUCUGAGAACCGAGGUACGAACUCGACGUCCUCCGAAAUGAUCUCGCCUUGGUCCGGCGUUUCCCACACUUUCUACGAAACGGAUUAAGUUGACCUCUCUUACUGCUCACCAACGUUUACGUCUUUCACGUCUGUUCUUAUUGGGACAAGUCUUUAUGACUCUAUCUAUUUACCGUCUCCUUUUGUGUCCAGUGUUGACCGCGACGACGUGACUUUCCUUUCAACGUGCGUAAAUUAGUCUUUUAUUCACUGGUUCAACGACCAAUAUACUCCCUGGGUUCGUCCUACUAAUUGUCCUACAUGGACGCCUUUAGACUACAACCACAUAAACCCCUCUCACGUCGUGUCGGACGAUGACGACAACUCCCGUUUCUACACCUUCCACUAGGACUUGAGUAGCUACUAAGACUUAAAAUAGUAGUUGAAGAGUUCCUCAAAGAGCUCAGUACACUAUGCCCCCGUAGACUUAGGCGUAAAAUACGAGACUCCUUCUUCGUCGUGUUCUUCUCUUUUGAACAACUGGCGGCACGAAGCUUCUCGUCUUUCUAUUCCAUGUCACAGGUGCUCUUCUAACGAUUAAAGUACCGGGGCCAUGGCUACUGUCAAGGAGGCUACCGAAGUUUUAACAAACUCUUAAAUAAACCUUACCCGUUGGUUUUCCGGGGACGCCAGACUAAAUUCUUUGCUAAGUUUUUAAACUGUAGUCUUCUUCUAAAUCGAUAAGGAAGAAUGCAUGAAGGAGGCAAGGUGUUAUAUUCUAGUAAAGUUGGAUACAAUCGAACUUUUUGCAAGAAUAUAACACCCUGCCUCCCUCUUCAAAAUUUGACAUUAUACACUACCGGAAUGACGAUCUUCUCGUCACUUCGUUUUAACAACAUAGAAACCCGGAUCUUUCGCGUAAAGAUAAAAUGCAUCAAAGACACACUACCUACCAUAUUAAGUCUAAGUGUACCCUCACUAUAUCUAGAGAUGACGACUUUGACCUCUACCCGGUCGUAUGUUACAGGGAAGACCUCCCACGUGGUUGAACGCCAAGACGCGCCGACGGUAUAGAAAGAAGUCGACCCAGUUUUAACAAAACGAUCGUGUGACUUGAAGAAGCCCAGUUGGACGUAGUUGUGCCGUUGGUUACUUUUUGUCAGAAAAUACGUACCUAACUGUACCUCGUUCCUUCUCUACUUCAUUAGAACUUACAUUAGAUUGUCUACCACGGAAGAACCCCAUCAGAAACAGUGUCUUGUCGAAGUCGACCAACUACACUGAGAGUACCUGUCAGCCAACACAUUCUAUUUU